UCUAUUUCAUAUGUUUGCUCAUUUUUUUUCUUUUCGUCUAUCGCAUCUACUUUUUCUUCAAUCUUCCAUUUCCACUUGUUUCGCCUAGUCUCAUGCGCUUUUCCCCUUUAUUAUUAUUAUUAUUUGUUUUUUUUUUUCUUUUUUUUUUCUGAUUGCUCGCAUCCGCCAUUCACUUUGCCAUUCACACAGAUGCGCGAUCAUUUGCAUCAGCUGCUUUGGGCCGCGUAUCGAUGCGAGUGAUGUCUGGUAGUGCUGCAAAACCAUCGAUGGACCGUCCAUCGAUUUUGUUUGAGUCCGAUGGAUUAAAACAUCGAUAGUAUCGAUGGUUCCAUCGAAAAUAGCUCCAUCAUUCAAAAAUUAUUGAAAAUUCAUAGAAAAAAAAUUAACUUUAUAAACAUUUAUACUCAUUCAUCACAAAACAGUCUAUCCUAAAAAACAACUUUGGUUUAUAUUUAUCUUAUAGCUAAAAACCAAAAAUUUCGACUGUAAUUAACAAGUUUUAAAAUUUAACUUAAAAUUAAAAAACAAAACUUGACUAUCUUUCACAAAAGUCUUGAGCUUAAAGCUGAAAUUAAUUAUCGUGAGAUCCAUUAUGUGCACGCUUUAAAUGCUCUUGCAUAUUUGCACACAACAGGCAUUUCACAAAGUUUUUUUCUUGGCAUUUUUCAAAAAACUUCCAUACUUGAGAUUUCUCAAAUUUCUUUCGCUUAUUCGGAGGCGCAAUAUUUUCAGUGUGUACCGUAACAGCAAAUGAAGAUUCCUUAUUGGCGUCUGCAGGCGAAGAAGCACUUUUAUCUAAAAUCCAAAACAAUUAGAAAAAACGUGUUUGCUAUUAAUUGUAUGAAUCUUACCAGAUGGGAUCAAAAAAUGUUCCAUUUUCCGUGGAGGAACCGCCAACAAUUAAAUAAUGUGGUAAAUAGGUAUCUAUGUGCUAUAUGUUAAAAAAUAAAUCAAAUUGUUUGUGUAAAAUA